UACGUAGGGUGCGAGCGUUGUCCGGAAUUAUUGGGCGUAAAGAGCGCGUAGGCGGUCCGAUAAGUCGGCUGUGAAAGUCAGGGGCUCAACCCUUGAAAGCCGGCCGAUACUGUCGGACUAGAGUCCGGAAGAGGCAAGUGGAAUUCCUGGUGUAGCGGUGGAAUGCGCAGAUAUCAGGAGGAACACCGGUGGCGAAGGCGGGUCUCUGGGCAGUAACUGACGCUGAGGAGCGAAAGCGUGGGGAGCGAACAGG
rnacentral:rRNA from 1 species